UCCCUAGUAGCUCAGAUGGUAAAGCAUCUGCCUGCAAUGCAGGAGACACAAGUUCGAUCCCUGGGUUGGGAA
rnacentral:tRNA from 1 species